GUGGGUAUAGCUCAGUGGUAGAACACAUGCUGAGCACACAUGAGGUCCUGGGGUCAAUUCCCAGUACCUCCA
rnacentral:tRNA from 1 species